rnacentral:rRNA from 1 species
AUUGAACGCUGGCGGCAGGCUUAACACAUGCAAGUCGAGCGAGCGGCGGACGGGUGAGUAAUGUCUGGGAAACUGCCUGAUGGAGGGGGAUAACUACUGGAAAAGGUAGCUAAUACCGCAUACCAUCAGAUGUGCCCAGCUGGGAUUAGCUAGUAGGUGGUGUAAUGGCGCACCUAGGUGACGAUCCAGAGCUGGUCUGAGAGGAUGACCAGCCACACUGGAACUUAGACACUGUCCAGACUCCUACGGGAGGCAGCAGUGGGUAAUAUUGCACAAUGGGCGCAAGCCUGAUGCAGCCAUGCCGCGUGUGUGAAGAAGGCCUUCGGGUUGUAAAGCACUUUCAGCGAGGAGGCGUUACUCGCAGAAGAAGCACCGGCUAACUCCGUGCCAGCCGCCGCGGUAAUAC